AUACGACUCCCUAUAGGGCGAAAUUGGCCCCGACGUCGCAUGCUCCCGGCCCGCCAUGGCGGCCCGCGGGAAUUCGAUUAGAGUUUGAUCCUGGCUCAGGACGAACGCUGGCGGCGUGCUUAACACAUGCAAGUCGAACGAUGAAGCUGGAGCUUGCUCCGGUGGAUUAGUGGCGAACGGGUGAGUAACACGUGAGCAAUCUGCCCUUGACUCUGGGAUAACUGCGGGAAACUGUAGCUAAUACCGGAUAUUUUCCUCGGUGGGCAUCCACUGGGGAAGAAAGAAUUUCGGUCAAGGAUGAGCUCGCGACCUAUCAGCUAGUUGGUGAGGUAAUGGCUCACCAAGGCGACGACGGGUAGCCGGCCUGAGAGGGUGACCGGCCACACUGGGACUGAGACACGGCCCAGACUCCUACGGGAGGCAGCAGUGGGGAAUAUUGCACAAUGGGCGAAAGCCUGAUGCAGCAACGCCGCGUGAGGGACGAAGGCCUUCGGGUUGUAAACCUCUUUUAGCAGGGAAGAAGCGAAAGUGACGGUACCUGCAGAAAAAGCACCGGCUAACUACGUGCCAGCAGCCGCGGUAAUACGUAGGGUGCAAGCGUUGUCCGGAAUUAUUGGGCGUAAAGAGCUCGUAGGCGGUUUGUCACGUCUGCUGUGAAAUUUCGAGGCUCAACCUCGAACUUGCAGUGGGUACGGGCAGGCUAGAGUGCGGUAGGGGAGAUGGGAAUUCCUGGUGUAGCGGUGGAAUGCGCAGAUAUCAGGAGGAACACCAAUGGCGAAGGCACAUCUCUGGGCCGUAACUGACGCUGAGGAGCGAAAGCAUGGGGAGCAAACAGGAUUAGAUACCCUGGUAGUCCAUGCCGUAAACGGUGGGUGCUAACUGUGGGCCACAUUCCACGUGGUCCGUGACGAAGUUAACACAUUAAGCACC
rnacentral:rRNA from 1 species